rnacentral:rRNA from 1 species
UACAGAGGUCUCAAGCGUUGUUCGGAUUCAUUGGGCGUAAAGGGUGCGUAGGCGGCGCGGUAAGUCGGGUGUGAAAUCUUGGAGCUUAACUCCGAAACUGCAUUCGAUACUGCCGUGCUUGAGGACUGGAGAGGAGACUGGAAUUUACGGUGUAGCAGUGAAAUGCGUAGAUAUCGUGAGGAAGACCAGUGGCGAAGGCGGAUCUCUGGACAGCUCCUGACGCUGAGGCGCGAAGGCUAGGGGAGCAAACGGG